CCUCAGCCUCUCAAGUAGCUGGGACUACAGAUGUGUGCCACUGUGCCCAGAUUCAGUCUCUCUUCUUACUGGUGGAAGAAAGAUUUCCUGUGGUACCCUAAGGUCCAUCCCUCUCGGGAUGGUACAGGGACACGAGUCUUUUCUUCCCUUCUGGGGGUCCUUUGGCUUAACAACACCACAGAGUCCACACUUGAGGCCUCAGAACUGGGCGUGGAGGACGUGCAGCUGCAUGAGGCUCACUGCUGGCUGGGCUCCUCCAUCCCUCUGCUCCUUAUAAAAGAGGCCCCAAGAGCUCCCCUGCUCCCUCUGCUGUCUACUGAGGACACAGUGAGAAGACGGUCAUCUGCAAACUAGGAAGUGAAUCUGCUGGUGCCUUGAUCUUGGACUUCCCAGCUUCCGGAACUGUUGUUCAUAAGCUACCCCAGUUUACGGCAUAUUUGUUAUAGCAGCCUGAACAAACAUUUGGAGACAUCUGCUCUCUACCCAGGGCUGCUCCCACCACAGGGCCUUUGCACAUGCUGUUCCCACUCCUGGAUGCUGUUCCCCACAUCCCUUCCUCCUUACUCCCUAAGGGGUUCCUUGAUCAUCCCAUUGAAAAGUUGCUUCUGCGGCCAGGCUCAGUGGCUCACGCCUGUAAUCCCAACACUCUGGGAGGCUGAGGAGGGUGGAUCACCUGAGGUCAGGAAUUCGGGACCAGCCUGGCCAACAUGGUGAAACCCCGUCUCUACUAAAAAUACAAAAAGUUAACUGGGCAUGGUCCCAUGCGCCUGUAAUCCCAGCUACUUGGGAGGCUGAGGCAGGAGAAUCGCUUGAACCCGGG
rnacentral:lncRNA from 1 species